rnacentral:lncRNA from 1 species
AUGGCAGCGCAGCCGCCGCGCCUGAUGCUGGCGGCUUCUGCGGGAAGCUCGGGCCCUGAGCCCCGCGUGGGCGGCCCGGCGGCGGCCCCAGCUCGCCCAGAACGGCCCAGCCACCGAGUCGCCCCUCCGGCGUAGCCGGAUCCCGUGCUCGGGUCUACGUCGACGGGGGCGGGUCACGGCUUGGAGACUUUUUCAGUUCCUAGGGACCGAGUUGAUCGUCCCGGCAAGGUCUAAACUCGGCAGAAACGUGCGUGCGCGCUCCCUCAAGCGCACACACCAGGGGCCUUGAGGCUGUGCUUCUUUUACGCAAAUGUUUUCUCCUGAAAGACUUUUUUUUUUUUUUUUUUUUAAAGUCUAAGAAAGAGUAUAUGCAGAAAACGGGUCAAAACAGAAGAGCAGUAUCAUUUACAUGGUGGAGGGGAGAAGAUUAAUUCUGAAAGCGCAACCAAGUAUCUGAAAACAACAGUCUCCUGUUUAGCUAGUAUUAGAGGAGAAAAACAACCUACGCUACUAUGUACACUUGAUAAAUGUUUCAUGGAAAGGGUGAAUCAGUGAAUCGACUUUGGAUUUGCUGGUUUAAAUGUGUUGAUCGUUGAAACGACAGUGAAUGUUAUCAUUAAAUUAGCCCUUGUUAAUGUUUUCUAUUUGGUAA